GUUUUUCGGAUAUCUAGUGAUAGAAGCAGCAGAGAAGACUCUGGCUGUCACACGUUCGUGGGCUUCUUAGCUUGACCUAGAGGGAAGGAACUGUGAAAGCUGGAGAAGUCCCUUCAGGGAAGGAGUACAGGAAGCCCUGAGUGUGUGAACUGCUGACACGACCACGUCACAGGCCCUAGUCACAGACCCAUGAGAAAAGGGCAGACCUGUCUGUCUCUUCAAUCCAGCUUGAAGACUGCUCCCCUGAAGAGACUGUUCUCACCACGAUUAGCUAAACAUGCCUCCAUGAUCCCCUUGUAUACCAGAAACCCUGCUCUUCUGUUCAGCUGCAUGUAAUAAACACCCCGAUCUUCUGGAAUGUUGAGGUUUUAUCAUUAGUUCAGUGCACUGCACAAACAGCUUUUCUGUGCACAUGUGUGUCCGUUUUUACUUCAUUCUCUCGCCACCCCAGUUAGGUUCAACCCCUAGAGCUAUGGU